CCCGCCUCUCAGCUGAUCGGCCAGUGGGCGGGGCUUCCAGGGAGGCCUCCAUGUAGGCCUUAGUGAAGCCUGAACUUGGAGUAAGCCUGCAGGCCCCAAGCAAGCAAGGAAGGAGGCAGGCAGGCAGGCAGAGUGGCCCCUACAGUUGUCUGCAGCAGACCCUCUGCCAUCAGCCCAGCAUUUGCAAGGAAGGUGGAAAAGGGGAGCAUUCAAAGCAGCACGACAUACACACAGCAUCAUUCUGAAGUGGUAUAGUAGCACUACACAAUCAAAGUGAGUGGCUUUAUUAUGUGAUUAUAUUGAGCACUGUCACCUUUCCUUUACAAAGAUUCUGGCACCUAGGACCCAUAGUGAGUCAGGUGAUAUACCCUGACCUUUAAUAAAUUUCCCAGGUUGUGCUUCUUCACUGAGCAAUGAGUGCAUUGUGCCUCCCCACUCUUUCCCCUCCCUGCACUCAGCAGGACUUGGAUCUAACAUCUAGUCCAAUGCAUUGUUAAGAAGCAGGGCAUUCUUUACCUAAAGCAUAAGCAAUAGAUGCUUACCUAACCCGUUCCUUACAAAUCCAAGGGAGCAUGCACAAAAUUAAAAUUCCGUUAAUAGGAAAGAGGUCUUGCACCUCAAAUGUUCAAAGGCAAAGUACUCCUGAACACUUGCAGAGUGUCUUUCCUUUGUGUCAGGAAUGCUUCCUUGCCUAUCAGAGAUUAUCCAGGUGUGCUUUGGAUGGAAUCUAUUGUCCUAAUUUGUCUAGAGGUAUACAGUUGUAAAACCGCAAAAUUAAAAAAAAAAGGACUCUUAUAAAUAUCUGAAAUAUAAAAAUAUAUGGUAUAUGUUUUUUAAAAUUAUGCAACCAAACAAGACUAUGGAAUGAUGCAAGUCAAACAAGAAUAUGGAAUGAAUUGCUGUCCUUCAAGAAAAUAACUGUAUCUUCUCUUUCAUGCAGCAGAAUUCUGAACACUGUCCUGCUAGAGCUUUUCUUACGGUGUUGCUUUAUUGAAUAUUGAUGACCUCCUGUAGCGGCAUCCUUGCUUUUCACUCCAUUAUGCAGCCUGGAGGAUAUCAAGCUCUGCAUAUUUUCCUAAAUAUUUUGUUGAAGGUCACUACAGAUGUCUGGAAGACAACAAAAUAUCUUUAUUUUGUGCUUCACUUGCCAAGCAGGAGGACAAAAAUAUCACCUUUCAAGUCAUUGUGGUGCUAAUUCCAGUCCUAGGAAUUUUACACUCUGGUAUGGUGUAAGAGCACAACAUUUCACAAGUGAAAAGAGGGACAUGCAGUAUGUUCCUCUGUUCCCAUACCAGGGUUCACUGUGUAAAUCUCCUUUAGGGAUGUAUGAGCUGGCUCGAUUCAAGGCUCAAACACCGAACCAGCCCAGCUCAGGCAUUUCGAGUUUGAACCAGACCGGGCCCAGUUCUAAGAACUGGUUUCUGGGGUAUACUUAUAUAGGGGAAUCUGGUGAGGAUUCCCCUUUACAAAUAAAGGGGGAUUCCCUAGCCCAGUGGUGGCGAACCUAUGGCACGCGUGCCAGAGGUGGCACUCGGCGCCCUCUCUGGUGGCACGCAUGCCCAGGUCCGGACCUGUAAUGAUGCGAGGUGAAUUUAAGCCUCGCGCGGCUCCGCUCUUGGUAUACGUGAGCGGCGUCUUAACUCUGCCUCUGCCUCUUUGCAUCCGCCCCCUCCGUCCGCCCUCCUCCUCCUCCUCCGUCUGCCCUCCUCCGCCCUCCAGUUCUCGGCUGGAUCGUGUGCCCGGGCAGUAAGUGGCUCCUCAAGCCAAAUGUAAAAUAAAAAUAUAAUUAAAAAAUAUAAUGAAUCAUAUCCAGAAAGGCAUCUUUACUGAUUUACAGGAAAAGCAGACUUAUUUACACCUGCUUUCCUUGCAAUUCAGUGAUGAUGCCUUUCUGCCAUCUUCACUGAAAUUCGGGAACAGCAGAUGUAAAUAAGACAUUCAUAUCUGCUUUUCCUGCAAUUCAGUGACGAUGCCUUUUUGGAUGUGAUUAAAAUUUUUUUGUGCUGGUCAGGGUUGGCGCGGUAAAACGGUAUACCAUGGUAUGAUUGUGCAUGGUAAUCAUUCUCCCCACACAUGUGCACGGGCGUUAAGACACGCAUAUGGUGUAACACCAUUAUUAUCAUAGUUUUUGAGUGUUAAUAAAUGCUCAAAAAAUGCUUAAAAACUCAAAAUCUCAGCAAGUACAAAAAUGUUUAAAGAAUGUCUGUUCAACUGUUUUUUUGUUUUUUCUUGACUAGAUCGCCACGUGUGUUUAGAGAUUGUCCCUGCCGGGAGAGUUGGGUUAUUUGCAGUUGCCCACAGCUACACUACCACACAACUUUGUGUUUUGAGCACCCAAAAAUGAGUACAGCAAAAAAAGCAAAGGCAGAUAGUGGAAGAUCAUUUCAAGAGGCCUGGACAGAGUCAUUUGGAGUGAUUGAACGCAAUGGGAAAGCAUUAUGCAUUCUGUGUAAUGAAAGUGUUGUGUGUCGCACAUCAAGUGUCAGACGGCACUUUGACACCAACCACAAAAAUGUUGGUAAACUUAGUGAAACUGAAAGAAAAGAGUUUCUUAAAGGGAAAUUGAGGAAAUAUCAUUCCCAGUAUCAAGGUUUUUGCAGCUAUCUUUCUAAAACAAAUCACCUGACAGCUGCCAGUUUUCAAAUUUCACUGUGCAUAGCAAAACAUGGUAAGCCCCUCUCUGAUGGGCAUAUUAUUAAAACUGCCAUGGGAGUAAUUCCCUUUUUCAUGAUUUCCCAAACAAGGAUAAAAUUAUUCAACGCAUCUCUGAGAUGCCACUUAGCAGAAAUACUGUUUGAGUCCAGCGCAUGGCAAGUGAUAUUAGUCAGCAGCUCACCACUGACUUACAAAAGGCAGCCUGUUACUCCAUGUGCUUGGAUGAAAGCACAGAUAUAAAUAAUCAUGCAAGGCUAGCAGUAAUUUUGUGUUAUGCUGCUGGUGACAUCAUGAGAGAAGAGCUGGUGAAAUUGGUAUCUGCCUGUAAGAACACAAGGAAUAGAUAUCUACAACGCUGUGAUGGAGGCUUUAUUGUCACAAGACAUAAGACCAGAAAAAGUGGUUUCAAUUACUAGUGAUGGGGCACCUUCUAUGGUGGGGACAACAUCUGGUUUCAUACAGUUAUUUGUUAAAGAAACAAAACAACAAGUCAUUCAGUUCCAUUGUAUUAUACAUCAAGAAGCUCUUUGUGCCAGGGAAAGCAGCAAAAAAUUUGACGAUGUCCUCAAAGAUGUCACAAAAAUUGUGAAUUACAUCAUGGCUCAUGCUCUGAAUUAUCGACAGUUUCAAGCACUUCUUGAGGAGGUUCAGGCACAGUAUAAUUGUUUACUUAUGUACAAUAAUGUCCGGUGGCUGAGCAGAGGAUGAGUCCUGGAGAGAUUUGUAGCCUGCUUGGAUGAAAUUAGGCUGUUUUUAAAUGAAAAAGGGCAGAAAUAUCUACAGCUCACUGAUAUGGCUUGGCUUACCAACCUCAUGUUUUUUUACAGAUUUUACAUUACACUUCAAUGUACUUAACAAACAACUACAAGGUGUAGGGAAAACAGCAGAAAGGAUGUUUUGUGAUAUUAAAACAUUUGAGAGAAAACUGCAGGUUUUUGAAAGAGACCUUGAAAGUGGGCAGCUAAAAUAUUUUCCAAAUCUAAAAAUGCAUUUAGAAAAUUCUACAAAAUUUGCUGACAAUCCUCCAAGCCAUCAGGAAAUUCACAAGGAAUGUUCUAGCACUGUAGCAGCUGCAAAGGUAAAUUUUAGUAACAGAUUUGUACAGUUCCGUAAGGCUUCGCGAAAGGCUCCCUACAGUUCGCGAAAGGCUUCCUAGAAGCCAUUUGCAACUCAGCGGCAAAGCGAGCGGGGACGGCAGGAAAGUUCUCCUGCCGACCCCUUGAGAUGGGGGGAUAUUUGGCAAGAAGGGGGCAGCAGGGGACAUUUGGAGUGCUGCAGGGGGCGGCCGCCAGCCGAGGGGGCUUAGCUUGAAGAGGGCGGCAGGGACUGGGAGCGAUCCUGCCGCCCCGUUACGAAUAGGAAUGGAGGAGUCCGAGCUGCGCCAGGGGAGAUUGAAGCCGGCGGCACCCUGCCGCCCGAUUACUACAAGAAUUACAGUUACUAUGAUGGAAGGGGUGAGUAAAGCCCCCCGUUUUUAUUGGAACCCCCCACCUGAACCAAAACCACCCCGUGUCCGGACCGGUCUGGAGGCCUUUAGAAUGGCCUCCGAACCGGUCCGUGCACAUGACUACAAACUUUUGCCUUUCAAUAAAAAGUUGUUUGUUGUCUAUGUCAUUUUGCUGUUUGAUGAGUCUGGGGUAGCUUGGAAAAGUGAUAUUGUAACCACUGAUAAUGCGAUCAUAUAUUUAUUUAUUUUUUUGAUAUGCUGUGAAUAACUCAAUGGUUCUGGAAAUGUGCCUUGCGGUCCCAGACGGGUACUUAAAGAUUACUGUUCUACAAUAUUCUACAGUUACUGUUUUUGUUGUAAUUUGUUCAAAAAUUGAAAUUUUCUGUGUUUUAUAUAAAUAAGGAAUGUUAUUAAAAAAAAGUUGUUUGUAUCAUUGAAA